rnacentral:tRNA from 3 species
GCUUCUUUAGCUCAGUUGGUAGAGCGCACGACUGUUAAUCGUGUUGUCGCUGGUUCGAGCCCAGCAAGAAGCGCCA